CAGGCUUAACACAUGCAAGUCGAGGGGCAGCACAGGUAGCAAUACCGGGUGGCGACCGGCGCACGGGUGAGUAACGCGUAUGCAACUUACCUAUCAGAGGGGGAUAACCCGGCGAAAGUCGGACUAAUACCGCAUGAAGCAGGGGCCCCGCAUGGGGAUAUUUGCUAAAGAUUCGUCGCUGAUAGAUAGGCAUGCGUUCCAUUAGGCAGUUGGCGGGGUAACGGCCCACCAAACCGACGAUGGAUAGGGGUUCUGAGAGGAAGGUCCCCCACAUUGGUACUGAGACACGGACCAAACUCCUACGGGAGGCAGCAGUGAGGAAUAUUGGUCAAUGGCCGAGAGGCUGAACCAGCCAAGUCGCGUGAGGGAUGAAGGUUCUAUGGAUCGUAAACCUCUUUUAUAAGGGAAUAAAGUGCGGGACGUGUCCCGUUUUGUAUGUACCUUAUGAAUAAGGAUCGGCUAACUCCGUGCCAGCAGCCGCGGUAAUACGGAGGAUCCGAGCGUUAUCCGGAUUUAUUGGGUUUAAAGGGUGCGUAGGCGGCCUUUUAAGUCAGCGGUGAAAGUCUGUGGCUCAACCAUAGAAUUGCCGUUGAAACUGGGGGGCUUGAGUAUGUUUGAGGCAGGCGGAAUGCGUGGUGUAGCGGUGAAAUGCAUAGAUAUCACGCAGAACCCCGAUUGCGAAGGCAGCCUGCCAAGCCAUGACUGACGCUGAUGCACGAAAGCGUGGGGAUCAAACAGGAUUAGAUACCCUGGUAGUCCACGCAGUAAACGAUGAUCACUAGCUGUUUGCGAUACACUGUAAGCGGCACAGCGAAAGCGUUAAGUGAUCCACCUGGGGAGUACGCCGGCAACGGUGAAACUCAAAGGAAUUGACGGGGGCCCGCACAAGCGGAGGAACAUGUGGUUUAAUUCGAUGAUACGCGAGGAACCUUACCCGGGUUUGAACGCAUUCGGACCGAGGUGGAAACACCUUUUCUAGCAAUAGCCGUUUGCGAGGUGCUGCAUGGUUGUCGUCAGCUCGUGCCGUGAGGUGUCGGCUUAAGUGCCAUAACGAGCGCAACCCUUGCCACUAGUUACUAACAGGUGAUGCUGAGGACUCUGGUGGGACUGCCAGCGUAAGCUGCGAGGAAGGCGGGGAUGACGUCAAAUCAGCACGGCCCUUACAUCCGGGGCGACACACGUGUUACAAUGGCGUGGACAAAGGGAGGCCACCUGGCGACAGGGAGCGAAUCCCCAAACCACGUCUCAGUUCGGAUCGGAGUCUGCAACCCGACUCCGUGAAGCUGGAUUCGCUAGUAAUCGCGCAUCAGCCAUGGCGCGGUGAAUACGUUCCCGGGCCUUGUACACACCGCCCGUCAAGCCAUGGGAGCCGGGGGUACCUGAAGUCCGUAACCGCGAGGAUCGGCCUAGGGUAAAACUGGUGACUGGGGCUAA
rnacentral:rRNA from 1 species